CUUGACCGAACCCAGCCACAGCGGCCGGUCGCGGUCCUUGCCGUAGGUGGCCAGCAACGCCUGCGCCUC
rnacentral:antisense_RNA from 1 species